rnacentral:rRNA from 1 species
GCAAGUCGAGCGAGAAAGUGCCUUCGGGUGCGGGUAAAGCGGCGCACGGGUGAGUAACACGUAGGCAAUCUACCUUUAGGCGGGGGACAACGUUCCGAAAGGAGCGCUAAUACCGCGUAAGACCCCGGCAACUCCGGUUGCAGAGGUAAAAGCUGGCCUCUUCUUGAAAGCUAGCACCUAGGGAUGAGCUUGCGGACCAUCAGCUUGUUGGUAGGGUAAUGGCCUACCAAGGCAAAGACGGAUAGCUGGUCUGAGAGGAUGAGC